UUUGAUGCAAUGAAUAUUUCAAAUUGUACAGUAUAAUGGAGUAAACCUUAGAAAAUCCUCUCAAAAUCAUAGAUAGCAAUAAUACGAAAUGAAAAGAAAAAAAAAAUCGAUUGAAGUUGACAAAAAAAAAAGAAAUGAAAAAAAAAUCAAUUUGAAAGAAUUAAGAGAACGAGAUUAGGAUACACAUAUUCAAACCUCAAGAUAUCCUCUUUUUCUUGCCCC
rnacentral:lncRNA from 1 species